AAAGUCGUGCCAGGGAAAUCUGAGUUUCUGCUCGGGGCCCCAGCGGCUCCUCCGAUCUCUGGAUACUUUAUGGAACAUCCUUUGCCCCUGCUCCCCUCAGUCCCCAAAGGAAAAUAAAUCCUCGGCCAAAUGAGACAUGACGCCGUGAACAGAAGAACGUCUCCAGAUCGUCCCAGCUGGCGCAGGCAGGGCCGGGCCAGAGGUGCCGCGUGGGUAACGGCUGCGGCCAGCCCGCAGCUCAGAACUGUCACCCUGGGCACGGCCACCACCGCCCCGGGUGCAGAGAGCGUCGCCCUCUGCAGAGCUGGGACCGGUGCGGCGCCAAAGAAGCCUUUGUGUUUCUCUCUGGCCCUUCCUGCCAACCAGGGAUAAAACGAACUCCUCGUAAUUUCUGCCUUACAAUAUUGCUCGAUGUGUCCCACCCCUGAUUCUCAGCAGUGCAGCCUCUCGGCCCCACCCCCACCGCCUACCCCUGCCGUCCUGGUGAACACAAUCGAGCAAGGCAGUGAAGCAAAAAUCAUUAGGUGGCUGGACUCAGACACAUCACGCUCCAGUUUGGGUUCCAAGGUGCUUCUCUCUGGAUUUUCACCUGCCUUGCCAAAAAUGAUUGAUUACGCCGGGCCGACUGGGUGUCCGGCAAUACCCAACAAAUGACUUUGGCCCCUAACAGCAGGCCUUGGCCAGAUAGAAAUCAAUAUUUCACCAUUAAAAUCUAUCAAAGAAGAGUUAAGGCACCAUCUGUCCCUGCCGCCUCUCUAUGCAAGCCAACCAAGAGGAGAAACAAUGACUGUGCCCUUGAGGGCAGCAUGGGUGGACCUAAGAACCUGCACAACAACAACGGCUGCCAUUUGCGGCAUACCAACCUGUUCCGGGCACAAAGGGUCCCCGCGUCUCCCCACAGCAGUUU